rnacentral:rRNA from 1 species
ACGAAAAAUGAAUACCAAGUCUCAAGAGUGAACACGUAAUUCAUUACGAAGUUUAAUUCAUUGAGCAUCAAACUUUUAAAUUGAAGAGUUUGAUCAUGGCUCAGAUUGAACGCUGGCGGCAGGCCUAACACAUGCAAGUCGAACGGUAACAGGAAGCAGCUUGCUGCUUUGCUGACGAGUGGCGGACGGGUGAGUAAUGUCUGGGAAACUGCCUGAUGGAGGGGGAUAACUACUGGAAACGGUGGCUAAUACCGCAUAACGUCGCAAGACCAAAGAGGGGGACCUUCGGGCCUCUUGCCAUCAGAUGUGCCCAGAUGGGAUUAGCUUGUUGGUGAGGUAACGGCUCACCAAGGCGACGAUCCCUAGCUGGUCUGAGAGGAUGACCAGCCACACUGGAACUGAGACACGGUCCAGACUCCUACGGGAGGCAGCAGUGGGGAAUAUUGCACAAUGGGCGCAAGCCUGAUGCAGCCAUGCCGCGUGUAUGAAGAAGGCCUUCGGGUUGUAAAGUACUUUCAGCGGGGAGGAAGGUGUUGUGGUUAAUAACCGCAGCAAUUGACGUUACCCGCAGAAGAAGCACCGGCUAACUCCGUGCCAGCAGCCGCGGUAAUACGGAGGGUGCAAGCGUUAAUCGGAAUUACUGGGCGUAAAGCGCACGCAGGCGGUCUGUCAAGUCGGAUGUGAAAUCCCCGGGCUCAACCUGGGAACUGCAUUCGAAACUGGCAGGCUUGAGUCUUGUAGAGGGGGGUAGAAUUCCAGGNNNNNNNNNNNNNNNNNNNNGUAGCGGUGAAAUGCGUAGAGAUCUGGAGGAAUACCGGUGGCGAAGGCGGCCCCCUGGACAAAGACUGACGCUCAGGUGCGAAAGCGUGGGGAGCAAACAGGAUUAGAUACCCUGGUAGUCCACGCCGUAAACGAUGUCUACUUGGAGGUUGUGCCCUUGAGGCGUGGCUUCCGGAGCUAACGCGUUAAGUAGACCGCCUGGGGAGUACGGCCGCAAGGUUAAAACUCAAAUGAAUUGACGGGGGCCCGCACAAGCGGUGGAGCAUGUGGUUUAAUUCGAUGCAACGCGAAGAACCUUACCUGGUCUUGACAUCCACGGAAGUUUUCAGAGAUGAGAAUGUGCCUUCGGGAACCGUGAGACAGGUGCUGCAUGGCUGUCGUCAGCUCGUGUUGUGAAAUGUUGGGUUAAGUCCCGCAACGAGCGCAACCCUUAUCCUUUGUUGCCAGCGGUCCGGCCGGGAACUCAAAGGAGACUGCCAGUGAUAAACUGGAGGAAGGUGGGGAUGACGUCAAGUCAUCAUGGCCCUUACGACCAGGGCUACACACGUGCUACAAUGGCGCAUACAAAGAGAAGCGACCUCGCGAGAGCAAGCGGACCUCAUAAAGUGCGUCGUAGUCCGGAUUGGAGUCUGCAACUCGACUCCAUGAAGUCGGAAUCGCUAGUAAUCGUGGAUCAGAAUGCCACGGUGAAUACGUUCCCGGGCCUUGUACACACCGCCCGUCACACCAUGGGAGUGGGUUGCAAAAGAAGUAGGUAGCUUAACCUUCGGGAGGGCGCUUACCACUUUGUGAUUCAUGACUGGGGUGAAGUCGUAACAAGGUAACCGUAGGGGAACCUGCGGUUGGAUCACCUCCUUACCUUAAAGAAGCGUACUUUGCAGUGCUCACACAGAUUGUCUGAUGAAAA